UACGGAGGAUGCAAGCGUUAUCCGGAAUGAUUGGGCGUAAAGCGUCCGCAGGUGGCUGUGUAAGUCUGCUGUUAAAUAGUGAGGCUCAACCUCAUAAAGGCAGUGGAAACUACACGGCUAGAGUGCGUUCGGGGCAGAGGGAAUUCCUGGUGUAGCGGUGAAAUGCGUAGAGAUCAGGAAGAACACCGGUGGCGAAGGCGGCCUGCUGGGCAGUUGCUGACACUGAGGCGCGACAGCGUGGGGAGCAAACAGG
rnacentral:rRNA from 1 species